rfam:Felis catus isolate Cinnamon breed Abyssinian chromosome B4, whole genome shotgun sequence.
GCCUGGGUGGCUCAGUUGGUUGAGCGUCUGACUCCGGCUCAGGUCAUGAUCUCACAGUUCGUGAGUUCAAACCCCACGUUGGGCU